rnacentral:rRNA from 1 species
GACGAACGCUGGCGGCGUGCUUAACACAUGCCAGUCGAACGGAAAGGCCCUGCUUGCAGGGUGCUCGAGUGGCGAACGGGUGAGUAACACGUGGGUGAUCUGCCCCUUACUUUGGGAUAAGCCUGGGAAACUGGGUCUAAUACUGGAUAGGACCAUGCUGUAGGUGGUGUGGUGGAAAGAUUAGUUUCGGUAAGGGAUGAGCUCGCGGCCUAUCAGCUUGUUGGCGGGGUAAUGGCCUACCAAGGCGUCGACGGGUAGCCGGCCUGAGAGGGUGGACGGCCACAUUGGGACUGAGAGACGGCCCAGACUCCUACGGGAGGCAGCAGUGGGGAAGAUUGCACAAUGGGCGCAAGCCUGAUGCAGCGACGCCGCGUGGGGGAUGACGGCCUUCGGGUUGUAAACUCCUUUCAGCCAUGACGAAGCCCUUGUGGUGACGGUAGUGGUAGAAGAAGCACCGGCUAACUACGUG